CCUACGGGGGGCAGCAGUGAGGAAUAUUGGUCAAUGGGCGCGAGCCUGAACCAGCCAAGUCGCGUGAAGGAUGACUGCCCUACGGUUUGUAAACUUCUUUUAUAAGGGAAUAAAGUGAGGCACGUAUGCCUUUUUGUAUGUACUUUAUGAAUAAGGAUCGGCUAACUCCGGGCCAGCCGCCGCGGUAAUACGGAGGAUCCGAGCGUUAUCCGGAUUUAGUGGGUUUAAAGGGAGCGUAGAUGGGUUGUUAAGUCAGUUGUGAAAGUUUGCGACUCAACCGUAAAAUUGCAAUUGAUACUGGCAGUCUUGAGUACAGGUGAGGUAGGUGGAAUUCGUGGUGUAGCGGUGAAAUGCUUAGAUAUCACGAAGAACUCCGAUUGCGAAGGCAGCUUACUAAACUGCCACUGACAUUGAUGCUCGAAAGUGUGGGUAGCAAACAGGAUUAGAUACCCUUGUAGUC
rnacentral:rRNA from 1 species